CUACGGAGGGUGCAAGCGUUAAUCGGAAUUACUGGGCGUAAAGCGCGCGUAGGCGGCUUAUUAAGUCAGAUGUGAAAUCCCCGGGCUCAACCUGGGAACUGCAUCUGAUACUGGUAAGCUAGAGUUUUGGAGAGGGAAGUAGAAUUUCAGGUGUAGCGGUGAAAUGCAUAGAGAUCUGAAGGAAUACCAGUGGCGAAGGCGACUUCCUGGCCAAAAACUGACGCUGAGGUGCGAAAGCGUGGGUAGCAAACGGGAUUAGAAACCCUAGUAGUCC
rnacentral:rRNA from 1 species